AACGUAGGAGACGAACGUUAUCCGGAGUUACUGGGCGUAAAGGGCGUGCAGGCGGUCUGAUAAGUUCGGCGUGAAAUAUUCCGGCUUAACCGGGAUAGGUCGUCGGAGACUGUCGGACUAGAGGGUGAUAGAGGCGUGUGGAAUUCCGGGUGUAGUGGUGAAAUGCGUAGAGAUCCGGAGGAACACCAGUGGCGAAGGCGGGUCUCUGGGCCGAUACUGACGCUGAGGAGCGAAAGCGUGGGGAGCGAACAGG
rnacentral:rRNA from 1 species